rnacentral:rRNA from 1 species
UUAGCUUGCUAACAGGCGUCGAGUGGCGGAUGGGUGAGUAACGCGUAGGAAUCUACCAAAUAGCGGGGGAUAGCCCGGAGAAAUCCGGAUUAAUACCGCAUAAUCUCUACGGAGUAAAGGGGGGCCUCUAUUUAUAAGCUUUCACUAUUUGAUGAGCCUGCGUGAGAUUAGCUUGUUGGUGAGGUAAAAGCUCACCAAGGCGACGAUCUUUAGCUGGUCUGAGAGGAUGAUCAGCCACACUGGGACUGAGACACAGCCCAGACUCC